AGUUAUCGAUCGGGAGAACCGGCUUAGCCGGUGCCGAAGGAGCAACCGCCCCCGGAAACUCUCAGGCCCAAGGGACCGAUCGGGUGAA
rnacentral:ncRNA from 2 species